CCGGCCUUAGCUCAGUUGGAAGAGCAGUGGAUUGUAGUCGUUCAUAAAAUCAAGCCUCCACGGGUCAGCCGUUCGAAUCGGUUAGGUCGGA
rnacentral:tRNA from 1 species